UACGUAGGGGGCGAGCGUUGUCCGGAGUUACUGGGCGUAAAGGGCACGCAGGCGGUGCGGCGCGUUUCGCGUGACAGCGGAGGGCUUAACUCUCCGAGGAUGCGAAAGACGACGGCACUUGGGGGCCAGAGAGGGACACGGAAUUCCGGGUGGAGUGGUGAAAUGCGUAGAGAUCCGGAGGAACACCGAAGGCGAAGGCAGUGUCCUGGCUGGUGACUGACGCUGAGGUGCGAAAGCUAGGGGAGCGAACGGG
rnacentral:rRNA from 1 species